UGCUCACAAACAAUCAAAAUGUUAAAACAUUAGCAUUGACGUUAGUAAUUGCAACACGUAUGCCACUGGGUAUGCAUCAGUUAAUCUGUUUUCAUAGUCAUUGUAUGCAUGCAUGUAUGCAUGCAAGAAAAUUCACAAUCCCCAUCC